ACCCCCUGGCUCCGAGCUGAGUGGCCAGGGAAGGACGUCAGGGCUCACCCUGAGGCUUAAGAGUUCAGCUCUUGCUCGGUUCAUGGUCACCUUCCCAGCACACGACUGUCAGAAUUCUUGGUGAGUCACCAUCCACCCAGACUCCCUGACCUUCUCCUCUCCCAACAUCCUGUCCUUCACCUGAUCUCAGCCACCUGCCCCCAGGUUCCCCGUCCUUUCCCUGUCUUUCCAGCUCACUCCCUCCAGCGUCCCAAGCCCAACAGUCCUUCCUGUCACGAGACCCAACCCUCUGACCCAACCGCCCUGGCCCUCAGACAUUCCCUCAUCCCUUUGACAUCUCUCCCUCCUUCACAGCUAAUGAUCAAGCAUGUGAUCCCCCCAGCCCCUCCCUCCUACUGUCCCAGUCUUUUGGCAAAAUUAAGAGGCUGGGUAAAGGCGGCCACCUGUGCCCUGGGCUGCACCUGAGCAGGUGAAAGUGGACAAAGCCCUGAUGGCCUUGCUCAGAGUCCUGUCCUCUGGCCUCCAGGCUCCAGACCCUGCUGGAGGAUCAGACUCCAGUCCUCUCCCUCCAGGACCUGCUCCUCACUCCUCCUUGUCCCCUGCACCUCCUGCAACGACCAGCACGACCGCCACACCUUGCACUCAUGGUGUCUUCCCACCACCUCCAGGGGCCUUGCUGUGAGUCGGGAAAAGCACCCGGGGCAACCAUAGGCCCCUGGCAGACUCAGCCCAGCAGCUGGGGGGGCUGGGGGGGAAUUAUAUGCUUGAUCACUAACUGUGAAGGCUGCAAUGUCAGCCCCUACUGCUCAGAAGUCCCCUUCCCGCCCUUUAGCACUGCCCCCUGCCUUACUGAAUCAUUUCACAUGUAGGUGGUUAACUUCUAUAUUAAAAAAAAAAACAAAAACAAAAAAAC
rnacentral:lncRNA from 1 species